CCCCUCUCAGGGUUGCAUCUGGAGAGUUUCCAGCACUCUGCCAGUCUUGACUACAGGAGGGAGAGUCAAGCAGAGGCCCGUCCAUUCCAUUCCUAGCUUGGCCAGUGGCUAGCGAGCGGAAGGCCAUCUGCUACAAGU